GCUCUAUUCUGUGAAUUUUCAUUAGGUGAAAUAUAAGUAACUGGAAUUUCCAAUAACUCUUUUUUCUCCCCCUCUUAACAGUGGAAUUUUUAAAGUGUGUUUAGUUUUGUAUUUGCAAAUGUGGAUUGGUAUUAAUGUGAUUUUAUAUGCAGCAAUCUAUUCAUCAAGAAAACUAAGUUUAUCAUCCUAAAAUAAGCAGGAAAAUUAUAUUCCAGCAGAUGCAUAAGUAAGGUUAUUUUAUUUAUUGAUAUAUUUUCCCUUAAUAAGUUAUGAUAUGAAGCUUUAGGGUGGAGAGCGAACCACAGUGUCUCAGGCACCAUAAUCUUGUAUUUUAGGCCUUGAAGCAUUGCUUGCUUUUUCAGUUAUUUGCUUCCACGAUUCUUCUAGUUUCUCACAUUGUUCCUCUGACCACCUACAGGAUGUGCAGGCAGCAGGCACCUUCUCUUGACAAUUCACAUGAAGUUCAAUCAAGGCGUGUUACGAUAAAUCUCGAACAAAAGAAAGAAAGAAAGAAAAGUAGUUGUGCUAAUGUUAUAAGUAUGAGCAUUGCAUAAAAUUAGUCAUACAUUGAAGAAAAUAAAAAAGAGUGAGGAGUUUAUAAGAUGAAAAACUCAUUUAUUAUUUGUUAUCUUAAAGUUUUGAAUUAGACGUGAUGUCUUCUCUUGUGUUAAGAGAGACAUGUAGUAUUGUUCUGAACUCUGAAAGAAAAGUAUAAGCUACGUUUCAGUGAAUUUUUAUUAGGGGAGAUAUAUGUUAAAAGUGGAAAUUUAAAUACACAAAUCCUUUUUAUCUUAUAAUUACA